rnacentral:lncRNA from 1 species
CACGGUCCAUCACAUCAAAAAUAACAAUAAAUGAUAGGAUUUUCCAACAAUAAAUUAUGAAUAAUUUCUUUAAACUUGACCUUGCCAAAGUGACAGGAUUUUAACUUUGAUUUUUUUCUUGUUUAGUAAGCAAUCAAUUAUCAAUUUAUCAUUAUAAACUGCACCAACCAUCAAUAAAACUUAUAAGAGCUGUAAAUUUUCAUUCAACACCCCAAAGUAAAAAAGUACCAUCGAAAGCUAAUAGUUUUUCUUGAUGGAGACUAGCAAAUAUCAUAUAAAUUUAAACAUCUUUCAGGUUUGAACUUCUUGGUGCAUGUUUAAAUCAAUACAACACCACUUAAAAAGAGAGAAACAACUUUAAAUUUCUAUAUUUUGUUGUAUUUCAUGAUUCCAUCUCAACGCCCUUCACAUUACAAUCAGAGGGGCACCAAUAUCAAAACAACCAAAGACCCCCUAAUUUUCACGUAAUUUAUGAAUUUCAAGACCAAUCGUAAUAAUUAGGGUAGAAGCUUUCAGUCUCAAUAAAAGUAAGUCCAAACAUCAUUACCUACUUCCUUCACUCUCUGCAAGUCACGAUCUUUAAAGCCACAAAGCUAUCAACACUUAUCCAGAGUGUUGGUGCCCCAAGAGGAAAGGUGGAUGAUAGAACAGAGCGGCGGCGCGGCGACGAUCCUAAGAGGCUUACGCGGCCGCAGCAAGAGCAAAAGCGGUGAAAGAACGACCAGAGAAGUAGCGACAGAUACAACACGAUAGAAGAAAGCGAAAAGAGAAGAGGCUGUGUGUGUGAACGGUGAACUGUAAAAGUGGACUCAGUCUCAAAUUCAGAUUAGGGAAUUUU